AGAACGAACGCUGGCGGCGUGCCUAACACAUGCAAGUCCAACGUGAAAGGGGAGCAAUCCCCCGGUAGGGUGGCAAACGGGUGAGUAAUGCUUCGGAAUCUACCCACGGGCGGGGAAUAACCAACCGAAAGGUUGGCUAAUACCGCAUAAGUCCUACGGGGGAAAGCGGGGGAUCGAAAGACCUCGCGCCGGUGGAUGAGCCGAAGCCGGAUUAGCUAGUUGGUAGGGUAAUGGCCUACCAAGGCGACGAUCCGUAGCUGGUCUGAGAGGACGACCAGCCACACUGGGACUGAGACACGGCCCAGACUCCUACGGGCUGCAGC
rnacentral:rRNA from 1 species